GAGUAAAACUAGGCUAGGUGCACCCUACCCCACUGACGCCCUAGAUGUUCUAGGCUAGGUGUACCCUACCCCACUGACGCCUUAAAUGUUCUAGGCUAGGUGUACCCUACCCCCACUGACGCCCUAGAUGUUCUAAUAUACACCAAACGUACUACUCACAUGUUGACUUAGGGUUUAAACUCAUGACCAGUAACUUAACAGUCACGCCUUGGGUGUACGACAACCUUAAUUU